GUGAGGAAUUUUCCGCAAUGGGCGAAAGCCUGACGGAGCAAUGCCGCGUGAAGGAUGAAGGCCUAUGGGUUGUAAACUUCUUUUCUUAGAGAAGAAUAUUGACGGUAUCUGAGGAAUAAGCAUUGGCUAACUCUGUGCCAGCAGCCGCGGUAAGACAGAUGAUGCAAGCGUUAUCCGGAAUGAUUGGGCGUAAAGCGUCUGUAGGUGGCUUCAAAGUCUCCUGUCACAGAUCAGGGCUUAACCCUGGGCCGGCAGGAGAAACUCUGACGCUAGAGUUUGGUAGGGGCAGAGGGAAUUCCCGGUGGAGCGGUGAAAAGCGUAGAGAUCGGGAGGAACACCAAAGGCGAAAGCACUCUGCUGGGCCACAACUGACACUGAGAGACGAAAGCGAGGGGAGCAAAAGGGAUUAGAUACCCUGGUAGUCC
rnacentral:rRNA from 1 species